UAACUUCUGUGGAUCAGUCAGAAAGGGGAUAUCUCACACAGAGUAAGGUGUCUAACUAUUAUAACCUUAUAAUUUUAUUUUUAGCAGUUAAUAGAGUCAACUGGUAGAGAAAAUUUUAAGAUAUAAUCCUUAUGGACUUGAUGUAAGUCUUAGUACUGAAUUAAUAUAUUUUAUUAUGUUGAUCUUUUCCAAUUUGUGCAAUCAAACAGACAUUUGAUUAGGGCUGAGCAUGGAUCUCGAUGAUUCCCGCCCGAACCGAAUAACCGUGCCGAAAAAUACCAGAACAGAAAUAACCGAAAGUUUUUAUAACCGAAUUGAACUGAUCCAAAUUUUUUUACUAUUACGGUAUGGUACUGGUUCUUUAGUAAAAAACCGUACCGUAACCGAUCCGUCUUGUACUGAUCUGGACUAAAACCGUAGAACUGGAUUUUUUACAUAUAUAUAUUAAUAAUUAUUUAUAUUAUAUAAAUAAUACAUAUUAAAAACAACUAUAAUAUUAUAAAAUACUUUAAAUUAUUUUUUAGUUAUCAUUUUAUAUAAUUCAAGCAAUUAUUAUCAAAAUAAAAAAAAUAAUAUAUAUUAAAAAUAACUAUAAUAUUAUAGUAUACUUUAUACUCUAUAAAAAAUAUAAGUUAUAUAUUAAUAUGUCACAUAGUAUACUGAUACUAGUAAUCUAGUAUAUAUACUAUAAUACUAGAUUUAUAAUUUACUAUCUACUAACUAAUCCUAAAUUCCUUAAUACCUUUUUCACUGCCGAGCAGUACCACAUACUACAAGCCAGUCAAGCCUACAAUACAACACAUCGCCGCCUCUCAAUUCCUUUGUAGAACACAUACUGAUUCUAUCUUCACAUAUUGAUUCCUUUAGCUGAAUCAGCAAUUUCACUGCUCUUUCAGGUUCUGACUUGCAUGAGUCGAGCACAGUAGUAAUAGCGCUUUUAACGCUGGUGCUGACUCUAUAUCCGGCGAACUAGAAGAGACACCAACAACUUCGAUUUUGAGUGGUAAAGGAUUAGCUGGUUUGGAGUCUUUAAACACUAAGGCAAAUUUCUAG
rnacentral:lncRNA from 1 species